rnacentral:rRNA from 1 species
GACGAACGCUGGCGGCGUGCCUAAUACAUGCAAGUAGGACGCAGUUGCGAACGGGUGAGUAACGCGUAGGUAACUACCUAUUAGAGGGGGAUAACUAUUGGAAACGAUAGCUAAUACCGCAUACUAGUAGAUGGACCUGCGUUGUAUUAGCUAGUAGGUAGGGUAAUGGCCUACCUAGGCAACGAUACAUAGCCGACCUGGGAGGGUGUGCGGCCAACAUGGGACUGUGACACGGCCCAGACUCCUACGGGGUGCAGCAGGAGGGAAGCUUCGGCAAGGGGGGGAACCCUUACCGAGCAACGCCGCGUGAGUGAAGAAGGGUGUCGGAUCGUAAAGCUCUGUUGUUAAGGAAGCGGUACUUAACCAGAAAGGGACGGCUAACUACGUGCCAGCAGCCGCGGUAAUAC